rnacentral:tRNA from 1 species
CCCUGGGUGGCUCAAAGAGUUAAGUACUCAGCUUCUAACUGAAUGGUUGGUGGUUUGAAUCCACCCAGAGGUG